AAGACCAUGAAUUUUUGUGAGUCCCGAUGGAGAUAUUGUCAAUGGAUAGAAGAAUGGAAAUAGAUACUCAAGUGGUGUGCAAGACUAUUCAACCAGUGUAAGUCGUGGGUACGU